CUAUUACUUUAUUUAUAUUAUGUUAAAAUUAAUGGCUAUUUUCUAUUCUAUAAUUUACAAUUUAUUAGUUUUUAAUUCAAUACUUAUGAAAUUUAGGCUAACAUAUUUAAUUCAACAGUUAUUGUAAUUAAAUAGAAAGAAAUAAGAAAUAUAAAACAGAAAAUUAAAGCUCCCUCAAAAUCUAAAAAUUUUUUAAGAGACGAAAAAAAUUGAUCCUUACUCUCAACGUUCUAAAAAGCCUCCUCUAAUGGUCUCUAGGCCAAGAAGCAUCCCAAAUCUCUCUGUCCAUAAGGUAUUUAAUCUCCGGAAGCGCAUUAUUUAAUCUCUGCAAAAAGGCAUUAUGCAGCUCAUAAGUACGGCAAAUCUCCAACCUGAUUUGCUUCCCGGGAAACAUGAUGCAUGGAAUCAACCUUCAAGAUGAUUUUACCUGAAACUUUAAUUGGAUCUUAUUCUUAGCCCACAAUUAAUUCAGCCUGAACAGAAUUACAUCGGCCGAAAUUAACAUGAACCCUCUAUUAGGAUGUCAGUAAAUACCUCUAGCUCUUUUCGCAAAGCACUUCAAUUAUCUGUUGAAUGUUUUUGCUCAAUCUGAUUCUAUGAAUGCCAUCUUUUGGGUAAGCAAAUAUGAAAUAGCUAGACCGCACCAUGGUGUUUGCAUUCUGAAUUCUGCUUAAUUGAAAAUCUCACGAAAAGGCUGACCAACAUGUCCUCCUUGCAUACUCAUCCUUACUUCAGCUGACUGGUCAUUCAAGUACCUAUUG
rnacentral:lncRNA from 1 species